AAAUUUUACCAUAUAUUAUAUAAAUAAACAUCAAAUAAUAUUUAUAUUGUUGUAGGCAUAAUUUACCAAAUAAUUAUGGAGGCUAAAGAGAGAGAGGGGUGAUGCAUAGAUAGAGAGAAAGAGAGAGAUGUGUAAUUGUGGGUGUAUGUUAUUCCACCCCAUUGUGCUUUUAUUUAUAGUAGUAGGAAAUGUUAAUUCCUUACCCUUUAGGAUUACAACAUUUAAUAAGUAAUCUACUCCUAAUAGGAAUAUAAGAUACAUUCCCAUAUCUACUAAGAUUUACACAAUCGCAUUCCUAUUCUAAUAAGACUGCAACACUCCCCCUUGAGUGUAUAAAUACUCAAGUAAAUGGCGCAUCAAGUAUUCAAUGAUGAAGUAAGUACAGUUGAUGAAGUUGUCAACACAAUGAGCGAAUGCGAGUCUCAUAUUAACGGAAAAAUGCAUAAAAAAAUAAAACUCACAAAAACUCGCUAUGGUAAAACCCAAGGUGGGGAAAAACCUAUAGUCUAAGGAGAAACGUGAGAAGUUGCAUUAAGUCAAAACUAUACGUCUUUUGGACGCAAGUAGAAGGGCUCACAAUGGUAUGAUCAGCCCAUGAUGGCUGCCUCGUUAAAACCUAGUUAGGUAGCAAAACCCCAGUGGAAAAAAUGCUCCUAAUCGUAGGGAAAAAGAGUACAUUGAGAUCAAGUGAGUAUACUUCUGGAUACUUACCCUGAGUUUGACAUAACUUCUAAAUGAGAACUACAAGCAUUGCAUAUAAAUAGUUAGGCAUACCAAUUCCUCAGACAAGCUUCUGGAAGGUUGACUUCAGAAGUGACAUCGUGUAGAGGUUGGCAAGGUUGUCUGGGAUCGGCUUGCAUGACUUUAAUCUCCUAAUGCCUUGCUGGUGUAGAUGUAGACACAAUAUGUCUUGGUGUUGACUUUGUUGAUGUAUCAUGGCUUGGUCGGGUUGAUACAUGCGGCAUAAUCUUCAUGGAUCGUUGUUGGGACUCAACGAUGGAUGAAAACACAACAAGUAAUUCGAAUAUGCUCAACAAGAACUCCUAACCAUGUCUCAUUUGUGGCAUAGUGAAGUAAGGUGAGUCUUUGAACGAUUCGAAGAUUUCGCAACUAAGGUUAUAUCAUGGAUCUCCAAGAUAUUGCGAUAUCCCUAACGGUAAAGACAUAACCAUUUUGGGAUUUUGCCUUGUGUGGGUUUGACAAGUAACCUACGUCAGCAUAACAAACAAGGCAAGCAUCAUUUCGAGGAUCAGGGAGGUUGGAUCCCUUGAGAUGCAUUGGGAUUUACCCUCGUAGUACCUUCAUGGUACAUCUUUAAUACCAAUUCAGUGGUUGCGUGUAGGCACGAUGUUGCAUCUUUACCAAGAUCAACAUCGAAUGAGAUGUCUUGUCUAAAUACAAUGAGCUAAGUACAACGAAGCGCAAAGUUAAACUUUAGAUAUGGAAUUUCGGAUUCCAUAACCUCUUCAAGGGUUUCAUUUGUAUAUAACAUAUGGACGAUCAUGGGUAUACUCAAAGGUGACUCAUUCAGGGUGUAGUUCAACUGGUAGACCAAAAUACUAUUAGAACAAUGCUUCAACUUCAGGUCAAGGCAUAAACGAGUUUUCCCAAGAUAUUUCAUCUUAAAUUCCAUCUUCAGAUGCGAGGCAGUUUUCUCAAGAUCUUCCGGAGUCUUAGUGAGGUUCAUGUCAACGACAUAAACUGUAACUCUAGCAAUUUGGAAUAAAACUUCAUAGUUUAACACGCAAGGGCAUAAUUCAUAUCCCUGACUGAUCAAAUAAUCACUUAGACGGGUAUACCACAUCCGUCGAAUUGUAAGUGAACGCCUCAACAAGUUAAGAGGGUGUUUCGUGGUUUUGGAACUAUUUGAAACAGUCCAUGUAAUUAUUCGAGAACUUACAUGUAAAUCUCCAUAUCUAUAUCCCCAUGGAGAAACAGUAACCACAUUUCAUAAUGCUAUUAUCAAUCACAUGACGUUUUGAGAGAAACCUUGCGCCAUAAGACGUGCAUCAUAUUGCAAUUCAUUCAUCUCAUAAGGCUUCCCUUCCCACUUCGAACACAACAGGGUUACCUUGGGUAAUGUAGGAACGACAGGUCCAAUACACACUUUGGUAAGGAAUUUGACCUGGAUUGUAAUUUCGGUUGUCUAAUCAGUUUUACAUUGUCACUUAGUUAACGGAACACGAUUCGAUAUCGUCGCUUUUCAUUUAUGUCGGUAGCUACCAUAUAAGUGAAAACAUCAUCGAUGGUAAUCUCAUUUCAAUUCCAUUUAGCUCAUCCAAACUAGUAUACUGGACCACGAACUUUAAGUCUCAGGAGAAAUCCGAAUUAAUCUCAUGAGAUGGAAAUGAUUUGAGACAUCGAUCGUGUUUACAUAGGUUCAAGCUCUCCAUGGUAUCCACACAUAUGUUGUUGAUGAAAUUUCCAACCCCUUAUGGCAAGGGUUACAUCAGAGGAGAUCAACUUAGUGCAUGAUCAUGUUACAACACUUUGGUCAAGCAACAACACAUGUAUGUGCCCAAGGAAACCCUUUCUAUACAUAACCAAGUCAUAAAGACCAUCCCAGACGAAGCCAACUUGGAUCUUCACGGCAGCAAUAGUCAACUUGACAAUCCUCGAGAUGACUCUUUCACCCAGCAAGCACAACCCACUGAAGAGUUAGAAAAGGUCUUUAUCGCAAAAGAUUAUUCGGAUCACAUGGUAAAGAUUGACACCACUUUGUCACCACCAAUUCAGUUGGCAUUGAUAUCUUUUUUGCAAGAGAACGUUGACGUCUUCGCCUGGUCAUACGAGGACAUGCCAGGCAUCUCUCCCGAUAUCAUCUGUCAUCGUUUAAGUAUCGACCCCAAGACCAAGCCAAUGAGACAGAAGCGAAGAUUUUAUGAUGCUGAACGGUACGAGGUAAUGAAGGCAAAAGUUGAAAAACUCAAAGGUAUAGGCUUCGUCCGCGAAGUCAAUUAUCCAACGUGGGUAGCAAAUGUUGUCUUUGUUAAGAAGAAUCCGACCAAGGAAAGUCUCAUGCUCCAAAAUGUCUUGUGGAUAAUGUGUGUCGAUUACACCGACCUAAACAAAUGAUGCCCGAAUGAUAGCUUUCCUCUUCCUCUCAUAGACAGACUUAUAGACUCUACGACAGGGUGUGAACUCCUGAACUUCAUGGAUGCUUACUCAAGAUACAACCAAAUCCUCAUGAACCUUCUGAACCAAGAACACACAACCUUCACUACUGAUAGAGGAUUAUAUUGCUAUAAAGUCAUGCCAUUCGGCCUAAAGAAUGCAGGAGUGACUUAUCAGAGACUAGUCAAUUCAAUGUUCACUGAACAAAUUGGGAAGAGCAUGGAAGUUUACGUUGAUGAUAUGCUAGUUAAGAGCAAACACGCUGACCAACACAUCACUAACCUAUCUGAAACUUUCAUCAUUUUGAAGAGGUAUUGAAUGAGGUUGAACCCCAACAAAUGUGCCUUCGGCGUAAGCUCUGGCAAAUUCUUAGGCUUCAUGAUAAGCCAACGAGGCAUUGAGGCUAAUCCUGAGAAGAUCAAAACAAUCAUUGACAUGAAGGAACCGGUAACUUCAAAAGACAUUUAGAGCCUUACUGGCAAGUUGGCAGCCUUAACUAGGUUCAUCUUUAAGGCCACAGACAAAUGUGCUCCUUUUUUCAAAGCACUUAAGGGAAGUAAGAAGUACAUUACAUGGACUGAUGAAUGUGCCGAGGCAUUCAAGAACUUUAAGGACUACAUGAGUAAAGCCCCUUUGCUCUCCAAACCUGAGGUUGGUGACACUCUCAUCAUCUAUCUAUAGGUAUCGGCUUUAGCGGCAAGUUUCGUUCUCAUUCGAAAUGAUGGUAAUGUCGAACGACUUGUCUACUACACUAGUAAGGCCUUACAAGAUGCAGAGACAUGAUACUCCAACAUUGAGAAAUUGACUUUAGCAUUGGUCAUGUCUGCUCGAAAACUUCGCCCUAACUUCCAAGCAUACUCUAUCAUCGUGCUUACCAAUCAUCCUCUUCGAUAGAUACUCUAAAGUCUUGACAGUUUAGGGUGAAUGAUCAAAUGAGCGACAUCAUUGGGUGAGUUUGACAUCUCUUACCAACCAAAGCCAGCUGAGAAGGGCCAAGCAGUGGCAGACUUCAUCGCCGACUUCACUAUCUUGUUGACAUUGUUUGUACGCCUAAAGAAUUGGUUUCAUUACCCUCGGAAGCUCAGAAAAUAGAACUAACAGCCCCAACAUGGAGUCUAUAUGUCGAUGGCUCAUCCAACCAACAGGGUUGUAGAGCAGGACUAGUCCUUACGACCCCUGACAAAGUGGCGAUGGAGUAUGCUCUUCAUUUCAAAUUCAAUGCGUCAAACAAUGAGACCGAAUAUGAAACCCUCAUAGCAGGCUUAUGUUUGGCCAAACACCUUGGGGUUAAAUGAAUUGAUAUCUUCAGCGACUCCCAAUUGGUGGUUAACUAGGUCACCACAACUUUGACGCUAAGGAUAGCUCCAUGGCAGCAUAUAUGGCACAAACACAAUUGUUGCUCAAGCACUUCCACUACCAGAUCACCCACUAGAGAGGCAAACAGUCAUGCAGAUGCUUUGGCUCGCCUCACCUCGCCUCAGUGGUGGAAGACAAGAUUGGGAGAAAAAUUCAGGUCGAAUUGUUGGUAGCACCAAGCACCAUGGCUGCGGAAGUGUGCAAUUUACAACAGGGGGAUAGUUGGAUUACCCCGAUUUAUAGAUUCCUUGCUCAUGGCACCCUUCCAAACGACAAAGUCCAAACUAAAAAGAUUUGAUACAAGUCUACCUAUUACUUAAUCAUUAACGACCAACUCUACAAGCGGGGUUUUAACCUACCAUACCUAAGAUGCCUUACGCCUGCGGAGGCAGAAAUUGGCCUUCGGGAAAUACAUGAAUGACUUUGCAGAUAUCAUACUGGAUCUUGAUCCCUAGCACACAAGGCUUUUCGCCAAGGAUAUUACUGGCCAACACUCCGCCAAGAUGCCAUCAGAAUAUCCUGCUCAUGUGAUAAGUGUCAACGUUACGUAACUAUUCUUCACUCCCCUCCCAAGCCGCUCACUCCUAUGAUCAGCCCUUGGCCCUUCGCCCAAUGGGGACUUGAUUUGAUUGGCCCAAUGCCUGCAGAGAAGGGCAAAGUCCAUUAUGCAAUCAUUGCAGUUAACUACUUCAUAAAGUGGGCCGAAGUAUAACCCUUGGCAACCAUUACUAAGGUAAAAAUAGAAGACUUCGUAUGGAAGAACAUCAUUUGCAGAUUCGGUAUUCCCAAUGCGAUAGUCAUUGAAAACGAGUGACAGUUCAACAACAAUAAGUUCAGGAUGUUCUGCUCUAAGUUCAACAUCAACUUAUGUUUUGACUCCCCAACUCAUCCCCAAUCUAAUGGACAAGUUGAAGCAAUCAACAAAAUAAUCAAGCGAACUUUGAAAACCAGCUUGGACAAGGCUAAAGGUUGUUUGCCAGAAUUUGUACCCCAAGUUCUUUGGUCAUACCGCACUUCGUAUUAGACGUCAACAGAAGAAACCCUAUUCUCACUUGCCUUUGGUACAACAGCAGUUGUCUUAGUUGAGCUUGAGUAAGCAACAUUCCGAGUCCAGAACUACGUGCAAAGGGAAAAUAACAAACAACUUACCCUCAACUUAGAUCUAGUCGAGGAACACAGAAACCAGGCUUACUUGAGGAAUGUCGCCUACAAGCAGCGCAUCUCCAACUACUAUGACUCAAGGGUCAAACCUCGUUUUUUCAAAGUGGGGGACUGGGUAUUGAAGAAAAGAUUACUCUGCGACAGAGUCCCGAGUGAAGGAACACUUAGUCCAAACUGGGAUGGACCGUUUAAAGUUGUUGGCAUCAGUCGCCCUGGCUCCUACAAGCUUAGAAGCUCCAAUGGCAAGACCUUUGGCCAUCCAUGAAACACUGAUUGAAGUACUAUUACAAGUAAACUCACAUUGUAUAAGUGCUAAGCUUUAGCCGUUCAACAUCCUAUGUAACGAAGACCAUUUUGCAUGAAUUCAAUAAAGAGAUGAUUUAGACAACUCGGUCCUAAUCCUCUUACAUUCCUAGCAAUGAAACACUCAGGUUCAAAGCUUCAACAUGAAUGCUCUCAACAGGAAAUAAAGUUUAAGUAUAUGUUAACAAGACUAUACAAAUAAACGAACAGCUCCACAAUAUAUUCGUUCAAUCUGACCCAAGUUAUGGCUUAUAUCCAAACAGAGGAUUUGCUCAAACAUGGCCAGACAUUCAUCAAUGAUAGUGCGAAUACUUGGUAAUUAACAUCAAACUAUACGGUGCAAAGUCGUAAGCAUCCAUAAAUAAAAAGCUCUCAGGCUUACAACAUGGCACAUUCCAUACAAAUAACAAAUUAGUACAUCCAGAGUAAAUGGCGCGUGCCACACAAACAACAAACUAGUACAUCUAUAGUACAUGGCACAUGCCACAUAAACAACAAACUAGUGUAUCCAGAGUACAUGGAACAUGCCACACAAACAACAAACUCGUACAUCUAGAGUACAUGCAGAAAAAGAGGGCAUUACGAUUCAUCCUCAUCUGAGGCUGAACCCUUGACAAUAUCACUCUGCGUUUCAACCUCAUCGCCAUCACCAUAUUCCUCAGCAUCUUUAGGACCAUCAUCACUCUCCUAAGACUGCUCACUGAUACUAGCCUCAUUAUCAGAGUCAUCAUCACUACUAGGAUCAAUUGCGAGGACGAAGGCUUCACCUUUUUGUCAGUACUCAUCCAUCUCAUCACGGUACUUUCGGAUAAUGCUUCCAUUGCCGUAACGCUUAAGGACAGCAAUUCAUUUCCUUUUCUUAAAAUUAGCCGCCCGGAUACAGUGAGGUCUAAAAGCAUCGUGAAAGGCUUAGGAACCUAAGAAUUCCUGCACAGCAGCAUCCCUCUCAGUUGGGAUACUCAUCUUCAGCCUAGAAACCUCAACCAAGGCACUAUCCAACUCUCAUUUAACUGUGGAAACCUCAAGGAUGGUUGUCUCCAACUGUUCCUUAGUCACUUCCAAUUAUUUCUCGAGCCUUACGUUCUUACCAUUCCGUCUCUUCAAACUCUCAAAGUUUUGAUCCUUAAGGCGUAUGGCAUCAGCCAAAGUUUUGCUCGUUUUUCUGGCGUCAUUCACAAGCUGCUUAUUCUUUUUAAACUUUGCUUUGUACCGCUCGACCUCUCGUAAUCUGUCACCAUACUCGGUCAUGACCUACAUGACAAGAUGAUCGUCACUACCAGGAAAAAGAGGGGAGAAAGCAAAGAAAUGACAGAGUAACACUUACAUAAGAAGAUAACUUCAUCAUCCAGUCACGAUCUGAUUCAUUCUCAUUUAGUGGCUCACUAAGCUCAUCAACAGUGGAUCGACGUCCUGCCAGGCAAUUAUUGACAUACCUAAAACUACUUGGCUGCAUGGUAACCUUCAAGUUCUUCCAAUGAAUGCUGCCAACCUCUUCCUUGUACUUUCUCUUACGGCUAGAGCUAGGGCCACCUUCUUGGUCAGUAGACUCCAUGGUUGGAGGAAAUAUGGGAUUGAUGGUAGGAAAAGAAGGCAACAGUCGUAUCUCCUCCUCUGCAACUAUGGCAACAGCACACCCGAUGGCCUUAACUUCAGCCUUCUUUGAGGCAGCAAUCUUGAGGACCUCUUCUUGCGACUUAGGUUUAGGGGUUGGCCUCACCCGGUGCUUACGAGCUCCCUUGUGAAACAAAAUGUCGUCUACGGGAACUAACAUGGGUGUUUUCCCUUUCUUGGCGCUAGUCUCCCAUUUUUUGCCCAGUUUCUCCACUAAACAAGAAAAAUCAAAGUAAGGAAUGCAACUUUGUAAAAGAAAGAGGGGGCGAAAUGAAAGACAUAACUUACUUGCUCGUCUUUGGCACUUCGACACUAGGGGCUAGAAACCGUACUUUCAAAAUAAGGGUCAUAGCUUGCCCAAAUGUCUAUCCUCUUUGGGCACCUUCAACACAUUCUCUACGUCAGCUAGCUCCCGUCUAGACAGCUUGAUGGUCCCUCGCGUCACUGCACGAAGAAAAAUGUUAGAAGCAAGAGAAAAUCACAACAAAUAGUAAAUAAUGCAAACAAUGGAUACAUUACAACGUACAGUCUAGAAGUGAGUAGGAACACAUCGCUCAUGUGUGACACCUUUAGCAUACUCCCAAUCAUUAUAAAGAAAGCACCAACGGUUUUUUCAACUGCAGUACGCCUUUUUCUUACCAAAGACAAUACGCUCUCUCUUACUCCAACAUGCACGUUUGGCAUACCCAGUGCAUGCUUUCACUGGGAGCAUCUUAUAGCAGUAACGCCACUAAUGAAAAGAAGGCUCACCUAACCCAUAUUCCAUCCAAAUAAUAUAAAACCCGAUCAAGGUAUCCCAAAAACUAGGGUAGAGUUGCCUAGACGCAUAUCCAAUGAAAGACAUCAUCCGUUGUGCAAAGGCAGUUUCACCCCUAAAGUCAACAAUAUCUGGGUAUAGAACAUAACAUGACCCUUGGGCGGUUUAGAAGACAAUUCUUCAUGAUGCACCAAACGCAUUCCUACACUACGGAGGAUACUACAUGACUGCCUUAGGGCCUCAAGUUGCUUUUCAUUAUCUAACAAGUUUUGUACUAAAUGGUUUGCUAUGAACUCAGAGAGAAAUAUGGGUAUGGCGUCACAAACAACCCCUUCACCCACUGACAUGAAAGAGGAAGAACCAAUAUUGGCUAAGACUUGACAAUUGCGAAGAUCACCUAAUCUCAAAUUUUUUUAUACAAGUCUCUAACAAAGGCCCUGAAGACUCCAACAUUGCAAGCUCAAACCUAGAGUUAGAGUUAGGGGAGCCCUCAUCACUAGGACUUCCAGACUUUGACAUCUACAACAAACAGAAACAAACUCUAUCACCACAUGAAAGAUCGAAACAUAAGGAAUUUCCUAGGGCAUGGAUAAAAGCUUAAUCAGUUCAUUAUGUUCUCAACCAAAUACAAGAACACUCAAACAAUUUAACAAGAAUGAAAGCAUGCAAUCUAGUGGAGAAGACUACCAACCUGAAGAUGGUGCAAAGCAAUGCUGGAAUCCCUCUCAACUAUAAGAGCAAUAUGUCUCCAAAAAUCACUACAAAAUGAGCAAAUAAAGACAAUGAAAAGAGUGGAAACUUAUCAUUCUUAUAGGGUUUAACAUGGCCAAAGAAAUUCAAAAUUCAAAAUUCAAAAUUCAAAAUUCAAACCAUGAGAAAACCCCACAUGGAAAGUCUUCAAACUUCCACAUAAGCUAGGGACUUUUCAAAUUUCAAACUUACAACACCUCCUCUCCCCCCCAAAAAAAAAUUCGGAAAAAAAAAGAGGGGGGAUGAGGUGAACACAUUAGCUUCAUCAAAGGAGUUCAACCAUAAUUCUCAAAAGCUUCACACACUCUUGAUCAAGACACUGUGAAGCAAAACCAAUUUAUGGUGCCAACAAGCGCUUCAUCAAUGGAGAGCAACUACAAUUCUCAAGAGCUUCAUCAAUGAAGGGCAACCACAAUUCUCAAAAGCUUCACACACUCUUGAUCAAAACAGUGUGAAGCAAAACCAAUUUAUGGUGCCAACAAGAGCUUCAUCAAUGGAGGGCAACCACAAUUCUCAAAAGUUUCACACACUCUUGAUCAAGACAGUGUAAAGCAAAACUAAUUUAUAGUGCGACCAAGAGCUUCAUCAAAGAAGUUCAACCACAAUUCUCACAAGCUUCACACACUCUUGAUCAAGACAAUGUGAAGCAAAAACCAAUUUAUGGUGCCAACAAGAGCUUCAUCAAUGGAGGGUAACCACAAUUCUCAAAAGCUUCACACUCUCUUGAUCAAGACAGUGUGAAGCAAAACUAAUUUAUGGUGCCAACAAAAGGUUCAUCAAUAGAGGGCAACUGCAAUUCUCAAAAGCUUCACACACUCUUGAUCAAGACAGUGUGAAGCAAAACCAAUUCAUGGUGCCAAUAAAAGCUUCAUCAAUGGAGGGCAACUACAGUUCUUAAAAGCUUCACACACUCUUGAUCAAGACAGUGUGAAGCAAAACUAAUUUAUGGUGCCAACAAAAGCCUCAUAAAAGGAGUUCAACCACAAUUCUCAAAAUCUUCACACACUUUUGAUCAAGAUAGUGUGAAGCAAAACCAAUUUAUGGUACCAACAAAAGCUUCAUCAAUGGAAGGCAACUACAAUUCACAAAAGUUUCACACAUUCUUGAUCAAGAUAGUGUGAAGCAAAAUCAAUUCAUGGUACCCAACAAAGCUUCAACCUCAAAGCUUCAUCUACAAAGCUUCAAAACAAAAGCUUCACCUACAAAGCUUCAAUUUUAAAGCUUCCACAAAAGCUUCACCCUCAAAGCUUAACUUCAUCUACAAAGCUUCAACACAAAAGCUUCACCUACAAAGCUUCAACACAAAAGCUUCACCUAUAAAGCUUCAACACAAAAGCAUCAGCUACAAAGCUUCAACUCCAAAGCUUCCACAAAAUCUUCACCCACAAAAGCUUCACCCUCAAAGCUUAGCUUUACCUACAAAGCUUCAACACAAAAGCUUCACCUACAAAGCUUCAACUCCAAAGCUUCCACAAAAGCUUCACCCACAAAAACUUCACACACUCUUGAUCAGGAUAGUGUGAAGCAAAAUCAAUUCAUGAUACCCAACAAAGCUUCAACCUCAAAGCUUCAACACCAAAGCUUCACCUACAAAGCUUAAAUAUAUAUAUAUAUAUUUUUUGGGAAAUUCGAAAAUUCGAAAGAAAAAAAAAAUUGCCUAGGCUUCCUCUUCUUUGGGCCUAACAACUUUCAUAACAAAUAUAUAUGAAGGAUGAGUUUUGGGCUACCACUUAGAAAGGAAAAGGGUGAAGUUUUGUUACUUUGGAAACUUGGCUACUAGCAAGACACCUCAUUCGUCAACUCCCUUGACCGGAGACUUGGGGGACUCCUACCAUAUGAUACUGCACCUUGAUACUCGGAAGUCUCACGAUCACUCAGUGACUUGGAUUUUUCAAGUCUCCAACCGAGAAAUUUUCCUCACUCGGGAAAUUAAGGGAGCACUACCUCAACAUACACGCUUCACUCAUAAAGCUUCAACAUACAAGUUUCAACAAAAGAAAAAAUUCAAAGAACUUAGUGAAGAAGGCUUUGGUCUAUUUAACACAAUACGUUGAAAUGAAACAAAGCUUAUUUAUUGAUAUCUCCGAUAAGUUACAAAUAUGUACAUAUACAUGAAUCAAAAUAAACAAACAAGAGGGAGCCUUCACAAAGGUUGCUCAGGAAAAGUCUCAGCAAUCGACAGAGCCCCAAAAAGAGAAGGCACCAGAGGUGAUCAUUCGGAGCCUUAGUACUGGGCAGAACCCCAGAAGGAGGAGGCACCGAAAGUUGAUCAUUUGGAGCUUCAUUACGCGGUACAGCCCCAAAAGACAAAGGCAAUAAAUGCCUCUGGAAUAAACCCAUAAACCUCUGAUGAUCAAGUAAAAUCUGACCAUCAAAUUCCUGCAGCUGUUAAGCUUCCUCUUCAUGUUUGUAGCAUAGUCAUGUGCGAGCCUGUGCAACUAUUUAUUCUCAUGCUUGAGCCCUCUAAUCUCCUGUUUGAGACUUAUCACUUCAGCUGCCAAUGAUUCAACUUGGCGGGUUCGAGAAAAUAGGCGUUAGGCCAUAUUAGACACAGAACCUGCACACUGAACACUGACAGCCAGAGAAUCCUUAACAACCAACUCAUCAGACCGUUUGGAAAUUAGUCUGUUAUAUUUAAAAGUGAGAAGGUUCCUGACAACCACUGCAACAGUUAUAUCAUUCUUCAUCACAAAGUCCCCAACGGUAAGAGGACUAGUAAAGGAUAAAAAGGAUGGGCGCCAUAUAUUGUCUUGAGGAGAUAUGGCUGCCUCUUCACCAAAGUUCAAGUGAAAACGACGAUCGGAUGGGUCAGACAUUUUCAGAAAUGAUGAAGGAAAAAUGAGGUCCAAUAAAUCUUUAAAGUACAAAAAUAAGGGGAAAUUUCCUAUAAGCAAUAACUCUCUGAACGUACUUCUUGCACACAAUUGGUGCCCCUAUAAAAGAAAGGGUAGCAAAGCCGUUUGUUCAAAAAUCAAAGAGGUACCACUCUCCGGAUUUCGAGAAGCUGAUUUUCCUAAGUGAAAUUUGUCGACAAUCUCCACACGCAACAUCAGCUCCUCGGGUAUCACAGAUAACUUCGCCAAAGAUCUCUGACAAAGUUUAGACACAUAAAUUUUGAAGGUCCAGCUACCCUACCAUUACCCACAAGGGUAAAGGAAUAUCAACAUUGCUUGAUAACUGGAAAGUCCUUAUAUGUGUCAACCUCUGUGCUCCGUGACAAGGCAGACUGGUAAAAAUGCCCAACAUUUACUCACAUCGAGAAAACACUCCCAAUAGGAUUGCUUUCUCAAAAAUCGAAGAGGUAUCGCUCUCCAAAUCUUGACAGCCAGACUCCCACCAGGAUUGCUUUCUCAAAAAUCGAAGAGGCACCGCUAUUCGAAUCUCGAAAGCCAAACUCCCACCAGGAUUGCUUUCUCAAAAAUCGAAGAGGCACCGCUCUCCGAUUCUCGAGAGCUAGACUCCUACCAGGAUUGCUUUCUCAAAAAUCGAAAAGGCAUCGCUAUCCAAAUCUUGAAAGUCAGACUCAUAACAGGAUUGUUUUCUCAAAAAUCGAAAAGGCACCGUUCUCUAAAUCUCGAAAGCCAUAUCCCCAAUAAGAUUGAUUGUUCAAAAAUCGAAGAGGCAACAUUCCCCGAAUCUCGAGAGCCAGAUCCCCAACAUGAUUGCUUGUUCGAAAACCGAAAAGGCACCACUUUCUGAACUUCAAGAGCCAGAUUUCCUUGGAUAAAAUUUAUUUGCAAUCAUCACACACAACAUCAGUUUUCCAGUUACCAUAGACCACUUUUUCAAAGUGCUCUGACAAAGUUAAAACGCGUGAAUCUUGCAGCUCCCACUACAUUGCUAUGACCGAGAAGGGUAAAGGAACAACGUUACUACUCCCUGUUGGGACAAUUCCUAUAUAUGUUGACCUCCAUCAUCCACAGCCAGGCAGACUUGUAAAUAAAUAACAAUGCUCAACUUUUCUUCACAUCCGAGAGGGCAUUUUCAGCAGAGUCUCUCGAAAUACUCAGCUUCUUUUUCCCCUGAUAAUACAUUUGCAAACAAGCCACACUAGAGCAAGAGUAUCUCAUAUCAUCAGGGUUAAAAGCAAGAGUAUCCCAUAUCAUGCUUUUUCCCUGUCUUUUCCUUUGCCCUUGCUUUUACCUGCAAGGCAAGGAGAAAGAAAACAAUCAGUAGGAACCUGAAAUCAAACUUCCGAUUUGGAACUGAUUACCCGGAACCUUUUCCUGGCUGCUCACCUAGCAUUGCUCUCGAGUACUCAUCUUCAACUGUUGUCAAGGUCGUGAAUUCUUUCAGUAAAUACCUUAGAACAGUUGAUACAAUAUUGGCUCUUUACACUGAAGCUGCCAAGCAUGGACGAGUCACUGAGAAGUAGUACUCUAAAGGACCAUUCAAAUGCAAAGAUUGUGCACCACUUCUGCGAUGCAAAAGAUUAAAGCAGAAGCUUCAACGAUGAGUUGGAACAGAUCACUAUUGCACGACGCCCCCUACAAAACCGCAUAAUUUAGACAGAUGAGUCUAAGUCAUAUCCAAGCUCGACAUCGUUGCCCUAUCCGAAUAGCUCGAGAAGCUUCAACAACGUUUUGCUAACACCGUCACCAAAGAGCAAAGCCUCGCCAUGCCACAUCCACUACUUUAUCAACAGCAAAGGUAUCCCAUAUCAUCAGGGUCGAACGUACUUUAGAUUUGAUGAACUUGUUUUGACCCUCAAAUUCUUGAGUUGGCCUUAUAUGCUGGAGGAAACCAGAAAACCCUCCAGCCCAGUUCAAGAAUAAGCCUGUGGAAAGUUACUUCUUCAAAAGCAAAAGUAUCUCAUAUUAUCUCUUCUCAUUUUUCUUCUUUUUAUCCUUCCUGCUGCCUGCAAGAUAAGGAGAAUGAGAACAAUCAGCCGGAACUCGAAAUCAAACUUCUGAUCUGGGACUGAUUGCUUGGAGCUCUGAUUGCUUACUUUGUCUAUCACCUCUUUCGGUAGAUCUCCUACCUCAACGACUUGGAGGACUCCUACUACAUGGUUUGUAUCGCGCUUGACCAAGCCUGAAACUACAAGUAAGCUUCAAAUGAAAUUGAUACAUUACCUUGUGCAUCUCCACCAGUUAAAGAUACCACCCAUGUAUGAAGGAAGAGUACUUCCAAAGAAGAUGCCACAUCUACCUAUGAGACAGAUAAGGUAAGUGAAAACGAUACCAUACUUCGGUACUUAGAAGUUUUAUGAUUACUCAGUGGCUUGGAUCUUGCAAGUCCCCAAUCGAGGAACUUCCCUCACUCAAGAACUUAGGGAAACACUGUUUGUACCAUACUUGACCAAUCCCGAAACUACCGAGCAUCGGUCAACGUUAUACCGUCAAUGACCAAGAAGAGUUUCCCUCCAACCAGGAAGCCAAUCAUAGCGCGACACGUGUCGACAUCAGAAGCCAAUCAUAGCGCAACACGUGUCAACAUCAGAAGCCAAUCACAACACGACAUGUGUCAAUGUCAGAACAAAGCUAGAAACUCUCUUCUAUAAAAGGAGAUCAUUCUCCCAUAAUAUUUCCUAAUGUCAUUUGUACUAAAUCAUUCACUAGUACUCACUAAAGGAGAGCUUGAACCUAUGUACUUGUGUAAACCCUUCACAAUUAAUGAGAACUCAUUUACUCCAUGAACGUAGCCAAUCUGGGUGAACCAUGUACAUAUUAUGUUUGCUUCCCUAUCUCUAUCCAUUUACAUUCUUAUCCACACUAGUGACCGGAGCAAUCUAGCAAAGGUCACAAACUUAAUACUUUAUGUUGUACCAAAGUCCUCACUGAUUUUGUGCAUCAACAAGAUUCAUUGUUUUGCCGUAUCUUCCUCUUCUAGGGAAGUGAAUCCUACGAACCGAAUAAUCUGUCGUGCUCUAGGCCAAGACAGAUUGAUUGGCUAUCUGUCGGUGUACCCGACCAUACAACAGGGGCGGCACACCUUCUAGGGAUGUUGACUCGACCGUUAAGUACAUUUAUCCUUGCAGGAAUGUUUGCAGCUGGUAUAUGAUCUCGUCACUUUAGCUAGAUCAGAGGAAUGCAUCUUGAGCAACAUUCUGAAAUCUAGAAUUCAUCGCACUUGCUUAUCACAUUUGUGCGGUAUGGGGAUCGAGAUGAGAUAUAGUGGGUAACGUCCACACAAAUUUGUGUCGUUUUACAGGAACGUUGGCAAAGUGUGCGUGUAAGCACAAGGUCCUUACUUCGCGCAAGGAGAUGCGUUGUAGCAUCAUUGUUCGACCUAAGUGUCCCAAAAGGUCAUGCCAAAGAAAGUAAACUGCUCAAUCACCCAGUUCCAGGCUGGCCACAUAUGGCGUGUGCCCCAGUUGGGGGACAGCCAAUUUGCCCCAAAUUAAAGCUUCAGACUCAUUUUUGGAAGUGGUGCAAAGAUAUUUCACUCUAUUUUCUUCAAUGGUUUCAUUUAUGAUCAUUGUCAUCUCGAAUAUCCUUAAAAACUCAACGUUAGGGAGAAUUUAAGGUCCCUUAAAUGGUAAUUCAGUACCAUUCAUACAACGAGGAGUGUGCCAAUACUCUUAAUCAGGUUGGAUGGACUUGAAAUCGUUGUUAGAGAUGUGAUUUAGGUGUAAAGUUAAUGUGCGUAGUAUGCAUUCAUCCAUAUAACUAACUUUCCCACAUUCCUACCUAAUCACGUGGUUAAUUGAAUUGGGUCACAUGUAUUAAGAAACAUAAUUCAAUUAACUCAUAUUCGAGGACAAUAUCAAUAAGAUUAUCCAUAAGUAAAACAUACACCAAACUUGAAUCCAAUAACAUAGAAAAAUGUUCACAAAGUAAAUGGUUUACUAAGGGGAUUCGACCAACAAGGCUAUCCAUGUCAAAAUUCUGCUCUUCCAAUGGUGUUUGGUGGAGCAAAAUUAGUCUCACAUAUUGACUACUAGAAUGGUACUUCCUUAACAACAUUGGUAGGGGCACGAACAGGUGCAUAGCCAAUGAUCUAUUCCAUCGAGACGAAAAUAGAUUCUACAGGGUUAAGGUUCGGGAAUGUUUUCCCUUAUUCUUGAAGUUUUAGGUCUUAAGUACCAAGGAUCACGCUUCGGGUAUGAUGACACACCUUGCCAGACCCUGAUUUUACCAUAUGUUGUAAAAACAAACUCAAAAUUGGAUUGUGAGAGAAUAUGUCAUUUGGUGUAUCCAUGCCGAAGCAGUGCAUCACCAUUUGGUAGGCUUUGACCGAACUGGGUCUAGCUAUUCAGUAGACUCCAGUUGAACUGGGUCCAUACCUUUCUCUCAUGUUUCCAUUAUCUACACUACUACUUCAGAAGCGAGUUAAAAGCAUGGAAUGACGAGAAAAGUAUUCUCCAGUCAAAAUUCGAUCGGAUUUAUAAACUUCAGAAUUGUACUCAUUCAUGGACGUAAUCAUGAUGUGCUUCAGGCAAUGUCUUUCAUGAUUAGACAGUUCAUAGGGGUGAGCCAAAGAGCCAUGGAAUCCUCGAUCGAGAGGUAUUUCCAUUUGUAAUGCUUUGAGCAUAAGUCUUCAAAUGAAUAUCAUGACGGAAGCUUAUUCAGCUCUUCCAUGUCGUUGUUGGCUUCAAUGGUUUCUCAGCUUCUUGAUAGUCAAGUGGAGAUUCACGUCUUUUACCUCACAUCAAGUCGUUUCUAUUAGAAACAUCCAAAUCAGGAAAAUCGAAAUUGUGACGGUUCGACAAUCCACUGAAUUGGAAAGAACAAUAUUGUGAUUGGUGUUAUGGGAAUGAAAAAUGUUAGAACAUUCGAGUUCUAAGACAUGGUUUUCAUGAAAAAUGUCGGGUUUUCAUGGGUGUAUUGUUUUAUGAAAACUUCAAGUUUCAAAUGCACUAAAUUUGAAACUACAGGUUCAAUUUAGUUUAUGAAUGUUUAGUUCAUAAAACAGAGGUUCCUACAAGAAUACAGAAUGCAAUAUACAACUAAGUGUAGUGGAUUUGAGGUUCUUCGGGAACUCAAGUGUGAGUGCUUCGGGACUAUGAAAGUGAGUCAACGGUUCAAAGAAGAGAAAUAAAAUAUUGCAUUGUUAAUGUCCAAAAGUGAUCUUCAGGUCAAUAAUUUUGGAUUCAUUAUCAAAUUAAUGGACUGCAAAGUCAUUUUUAAUUAAUUCAAUAGAUUGAGACCAAACGGGAUCGAUUGUAGAAGCAAAAAUAAAAUUUGUCUAGACCUAUUUAUUAUUUAAGGUUGGCUGCAGGUGGCAGCGGGCCGAGAAAGAGAAAAAUGGCCCAUAGGACAGACGGGUCAAAGGGCAGGGGCUCAUCAAUGCAACUGCAGGCUGACAUGAUAGGUCCAUUAUUAUAAGCUCGGGUUAAAACAGAAGGGAGCCCAAGUGGGCUUGGUCCAUGAAAAACAUCCUAGCACGUUUUGGCUACUAGUGGGCUGGGGAAAAAACAGAUGUAUAGCCCAGCUUGCAACUCGCGGGCUGUGUUGGAAAGAGCCCAGCAGCCUUGCGCUGCUGGCAUUCGGCUUAGUCACAGUGAAGCCCAACGUGUGGGUUUUGAUUCCGUGCACAGGAAGAAAACCCAAAAAUGAGCUGCUGUGCAGCGGCUCCACGAUUUGUCCUUUUUUUUUUCUUUUUAUGUUUUCCUUUUUUUUAAGGGUUUUUCAGAACCCAAAAAAAUUUAUGCUUAUAUUUUUCUUUCGAUUAUUUGACUCACAAAUUACACAUAGUGAUUUAAUUACGUAAUGCAUGAAACAAAUAUGUAUAUUGACAAAUAUAUGAAACAUAUACAAUAUAUAUAUCGGAAGGAAAAUAUAAACAUAGGGAGGUUCAUGCAUCAUGGGGAAUGUUUUCAUACUUUAAGAUCGUUUCAAAUAUCUUACUUUAUUUUAAGCAUACCUGAUUGGCAGAAAACAAGAAAAACCUUUGAAUUUGUAGAAGAUCCAUCUCGGAAAGCCGGAAUUGCAUCUACAAUGUGUUGUAUCACGCUCAACACAGAAAAAUUAAAUUGAAUCAAUAGCAUGUAGAUCAAUUCAAUAAAAUAAUUAAAUUAAUCACAAAAAGAAUGAUUAAAACGUAAUACUCCCCUGAUUGAAGAUCAAACUCUCUUGUUAGCACAUCAUCAAGAGCAUGCUGAUAACGUGUUGUAGGCAUAAUUUACUGAACAAUUAUAGAGGCUAAAGAGAGAGAGGGAUGCAGCAUAGAUAGAGAGAAAGAGAGAGAGAUGUGUAAUUGUGGGUGUGCGUUAUUCCACCCCAUUGUGCCUUUAUUUAUAGUAGUAGGAAAUGUUAAUUCCUUACCCUUUAGGAUUAUAACCUUUAAUAGGUAAUCUACUCCUAAUAGGAAUAUAAGAUACAUUCUCAUAUCUACUAGGAUUUAUACAAUCACAUUCCUAUUCUAGUAGGACUGCAACAUAUAUUACUUUUUUUAAGGAAAUAACACAAUAUUUAUCUAAUGUGAGAGUUUAAUUUAAAGUGAAUAUGGUGGAGUCUUAAAAUAGAAAACAAAAGAAAGAUGGAAAAUAAAAGUUACAAGGAUAAAUAAACAAUCUUUAAAAAAGAUAAAUGGAUAAAUAAACGACAAAAAAGAAGUUGAGGUCAUGAAGAAAAAAAGAAGGGGAAAUGGGUAAUCAAAUGACAAGAGAGGUGGGUUUAGAAAGAUUAGAAAAAGAAUAAAAUGGUGGGGUCUCUGUACAGUCAGCUUUGAAAACCAAGGUAUACAAAUGCAAAGUCAGCAAAAUUAAUCGACAUCUUUUGCAAACGACGCCGUUUAGGUAAGGGAAACUUCAAGAAGAAGAAGACUUCUUCUUCAGAUUUCGGUGUGCUAGCUGUUCCGUCAAUCCCAACCUUUCUCCUCUAUCUUCGUCAUUCCUCUGCAAAUUCGACCAAGACAGUGCACCAACCAAAACAAAUUUUUACAGGUGCCAUGAAUUCCAACAAGAGCGGAGAGGCUGAACCAACGCUCCUAGGCAUGUUUUCCGGCGAGGCGAGGGGCGGCCACCACUCCUCGCCCUCACAUAGCUUCGUCAUUGCUGUUUGGGAACAGUUGAGGAUUCACAACCAUCUCUGUUUCUCUCUCUCUAGAUUUCUCAAUUUCUUUCUUCUUCUUUCUUUGCCUCCUCCGGUGUACCGCCACAGAGGGAUGGAUCAAUUUAAUCGCAUCGCUUUGGCUUCUUACGGUGCGGGAGUUUACCGAAUCAGACACGUUUUCCAGCACUCACCCACUUUCUGCAACUUUUUUAUUUUUGGUCAAAG
rnacentral:lncRNA from 1 species